GUGACAGUGGCAGUGUUGGUGGAAGCGGCGGUGGAGGAGGAGGAUGAGGUAGCCAACACUGGUUUUUAUAUAUAUAUUUUUUAACUGGGGUAGCCCCCAAAAUAUUGGGACAUAUAAAAAAAGACAACUCUGUUCUGCAGAGUAGCUGUUGACAUUAUAGUUGCGCAGGCACUUUGUUGACUCUAGAGAACCUCGGGACAAUCGCACAUCCCUGUGAUGGCGACUUUGCAUUCGGAUGUCAUCCAUAUCAACUUUCGAUGCCAGUUUCUGCGCCUACCAUGGUGACCACGUGUAAUGGGGAAUCAGGGCUCCAUUCCAUACAGGGACCCUGAGAAACGGGACCCUGAGAAAUGCAAGGAAGGCA
rnacentral:rRNA from 1 species